AAUUAAAUAAACUUUUUUUUUAUAAAAACAUUGAUUUAUGAUUAAUUGAUCCUUAUAUAGAGAUUAAAAGAUAAAAUUACCUUAGGGAUAACAGCGUAAUUUUUUUUGAGAGUUCUAAUCGAAAAAAGAGAUUGCGACCUCGAUGUUGGAUUAAAAUUUAUUUUUGGUGUAGAAGCUAAAAAAUUAGGUCUGUUCGACCUUUAAAAUUUUACAUGAUCUGAGUUUAGACCGGCGUGAGCCAGG
rnacentral:rRNA from 1 species